GACGAACGCUGGCGGCGUGCUUAACACAUGCAAGUCGAACGGUGAAGCACCUUCCUUUUGGUGGGUGUGGAUGAGGGGCGAACGGGUGAGGAACACGUGAGUAACCUGCCCCCUUCUUCUGGAUAACCGCAUGAAAGUGUGGCUAAUACGGGAUAUUCUGUGCCUGCUGCAUGGUGGGUGUGGGAAAGAUGCGCUUUUGGGUGGUUUUGGUGGGGGAUGGGCUCGCGGCAUAUCAGCUUGUUGGUGGGGUGAUGGGCUACCAGGGCGGUGACGGGUAGCCGGCCUGAGGGGGGGCGCGCUCACAGUGGGUCUGAGACACGGCCCAGACUUAUACGGGAGGCAGGUGUGGAGUAUAGUGCACUAGGGGCGCGAGCCUGAUGCAGCCGCGCCGCGUGAGAGAGGGGGGCUUUCGUGUUGUAACCCUCUUUCGCCAGAGGAGCAGGCCUGUCCCUUGUGGGUGGGUUGACGGUAGCUGGAUAAGAAGCGCCGGCUAACUACGUG
rnacentral:rRNA from 1 species